UCUGUUUCCCAGUGAAACUUUUCUUUUAAGGAGCCUUAACUCAGAAUGAGCAAAAAGCAUCAGUUCCAAGAUGCUAAAAUUGGUGCACAUCUCUAGGGCACAUCAUUUUUUUCUUUCUAACAACAGUUAGCCUGUACUAGUACAACCAAAGAAAGCUCACUGUAUAGGAUGGCAUGUUAGAGAGGUGAAGGGUGGAGUGCAGGGAACUAUAUAGCCAGACGUCUGGACAUCUGGUCAUGGUGUCUCAAGAUACUACAGUUGAAUCUUUGUCCAAGUUAUUUACAGAAAAUAGAUGUUGUAUAUGUUGAAGAUAUUAAAUUAGAUCAAGAUUCUUGUUUGAUCUGAAGUAGAAAGCUACAGUUCUGUGAGCUGAUUUGUUAACAGAAUUACUAGGAUUCUUGAUGCACAUAGCAGGAGAUAGGGGCUCACCAUGUAGCUUUGACUGGCUGGGAGCUUACUACAUAGAACAAGCUCACAGAUCCACCUGCCUGUGCAUGCUGGGAUUGAAGGUGUGAGUGCUCUUACAGGUAUGUUUUGUUGCACGGAAAUCUCCUGGGCUCUGUUCUAUUUUCCUUUCGCACUGUGGGUCAGCUCAUUUAGAUAUAGAAGAUUAGUAGGGAGCAACUUCUCAAGCUAUAUCCAAUAAUGUGUUUGAUAUAUCCUCUUAACGUUUCAAGGGGCCUCCAAACAAAUAUAUUAAAACCAAGAUUCUUGCUAUCAUUUUUACCAUCUCAGUCAAUCAUCAUCCACCUGACCUCUUGGUCAGGCCUCAAACCAGAAUCCUGCUUCUUGUAGCCAAGUAUCUUCACCUCACAGGGGAUCUGUUCCACUCUCCACGUCACAAUGGAAUGCUGACCUGUGGCGCUACAAUGUUAGACUUUUCCAUGUUCCAGCUUCCAGUGGAUUUUGAAAAAAAAAAAAGCCCUCCCAUAAGGACAUCAGAAGAGAAAGACAUUUCCAAGACAGCAAAGGCCAUCUACUACCUGUCCCCAGUGUCUCUGACACUGCCUGAUGUGCAGAGUAAAGGGAUCAAAGCCUAUUGUUUGCGAAGAACAGGAGACCACCCAUGUGUUUAACUUUCCACCCCGAAUCUUCCAGCUUGGUCCCAGCAUGAAAACUUCCACAAAGGGGCGGAACAUGGCCGUGGUCUGCCAGUUUAGGUCGUUGAUAGCAAUCACUGAAAAGCAGAAGCCAAGCUUCAGCAAACUGUUCUGUGAACAUGGCUAGAAGUUGUACUUGAGUGUGCCCUGACUGGACCCACAAAGAAACGUUCCACAGGUUGAAAUACUCUAUACCUGGGAAUGCCCUGGUAAUGGAAAAUUCAACUUGACAUUCAUUGACUUUAUGCUCUCCAGUCCCUGGGGUAGUGGUGACAUCCACAUGGACAGAGAUCUGACCUACAGAGUCUUUGGAGGAGCGGCCUGCAAACAGAAGAAAUGUACUAGAUUGAAUGUUCAGGUUGCAUGCCUUAUUUUCUUUGCCUAAGGAUUAAAUAUUUUUCUUUUCUAUUAAUAUCACAUGCUAGACACUGAUUAAUGCUCAGAGUUCACAAUGUUGGCAUUGCACAUGGUAGACCCAUCCAAAGCCCUGUCAGUGCAAAAGCUAAAUGCCAUAAACUCAGUGGAAAUUCACCAGAUGCCUAAUUCCUACCAUAGUGAAAAGGUUUAGUGCCCACCCCCAGCACUAAUAACACUUUACAGACUGCCUCA